ACAGCUCACGAAUGCAAUAAGGCUUCCACUAAUCUUGUUUCUUGGAUACCCCCGGCCACUGGACAUGUAAAGCUAAAUACAGAUGGAUCUGUUUUGAAUGGAGUUGGAGGAACAGGUAUGCUGCUCCGUGACCACACCGGCACCAUCAUCUUCAGCUCUUGUAGACACCUUUUUUCUUGUGAUGAUAUUUUGGAGGCUGAGAUCUUAGCAAUCCGGGAGGGACUCAUGCUCGCUCUACAGUGGAGCAGUCUACCAAUUUAUAUUGAAAGCGACAGUUUGAAAGCAGUGAACAUGGUGAAAAGUGGAGAUACAAAUAGAUCAAAAUAUGCCUUUCUUAUUAGAGAGAUUAAAGAUAAUAACCGGAAACAACAAAGUGUGCAUGGUGAGCUCAGCAUAAACCCGGGCCUUUUUGCUAGGCCUCUCCGUCUGCCUCUCCCUGCCCACAAAUCAAAGAAGUGCACAAUACCACCAUCUACUACCAUGAUUUUUGGCUUUAUGCACAAUACCACCAUACCGAAUUGGCAUGUCCGUGUCACCUCAGGACUGCCAGUGUGCCCCUAUGUCUCACAUUCAGCGAGAUGGGAAUAA
rnacentral:rRNA from 1 species